UAGAGGUCAGUGGCCGGUCUUUGUGCGAGGUUUAUAAAGGCUUGCACUGCUAAAGGGCUGACGAAUUGCUUAAGGAGAAGCGAGCGAGCGAGGAUCGAAAUGACUGCCUCAUCUGCUUACCCUGCCUGCCUGGUCAUUGCCAAGGAGUUUCCAGAAGGCAAAGUUGCCACCUGGACACUCAACCCAGUGUGGAUGGGAAACGUGCAAGAAGCUGGUCAGGUUUGAACUCAGGCCCGCUCGCCUCAAAGUCCAGUGCAGACACUACCACACCACCGGACCGGAGGAACGUUGUUCUGCUUGGCAGCAGACGUGUGAUGUUGAACGACAACAAACUUGACCUUUGAAACAUCUGCCCUGGGCCACUGAGAUCUGCCUCGCUCCUUCCUACAGCUGUUUCGGGCAUAAGACAGACACAAGCUUCAGAAGACAUACCACAGGCACAAGGACAACUUCUACACCUCUGUUACAGAACUCUUCAACAGACCUCUGUUACAAUAAAAAUCAAGACCUCAUGAUCUACUCCUUGGACCUGAUUGCCUGCAAAUUCUGCCAUGGACGGGGCCACGUCCGGCUGCGAAAGGAUGGGAGUUGGGCAGAGCUACACAAACGCUGACGGAAGCUCCAGCCAACUUACCCCUGGGAGAGGAAAGACCUUCGAAGGUGGGGUAGCCCGGGGUCAACCCGAAAGACUGGCCCAGGACAGAGAAGUCUGGUGAGCUGCAGACUAUGGCUGACCUAUGCCCUAGCAGGGCAAAGGGCUGAAGAAGCAUUGUACCCUCUCUGUAAUACAUCUUGCAUUCCGUUUUCUCCUUGCAAUACAUGGUGUGCUUUUCGCUGUACAUGUGAGAAUAAUAAGCUGAUUAUCGAAUAAAUGCAAGGGGAAAGAUGAAAAAAAAAACUCAUUGUGUAGAAACUUAAACGUGCCAGAGUACACAGCAGUAUCUGAAAAGACUCAAAUGUCAUAACAUCAGGAUGGAAAACGCUCUUCCUCACUCUAUCAGGAGCUGGCCAGUCCAUUCACUUCAUAUUCCUUCUCUUGCCUUUCCCAGUUUCAUAAAAUGCAGGCACAUACAGAGGUGGGGGGAAGAGAGUGGAGUCAUACCUAGUUAAUGCUCCAGAUAGUGUGUGUUCCAAACAGUCUCUGACAACCCAGUCCAGCUCCUGGCCUUCACGUGCGGCUUAGCUACUAAGCCCAGUGGAACCGUUUCUACUAACAGGAGGAAGGGGCAGAGGCAGAUUACUUGCACCUUAAAACCAGUCGCUUCGGACAGAUGGGGCUUGUCAGCUCAUCUAGGAGAAGGAAAACUCUGAUCUCAAACCUCCGUGGCCUUGCAGCUGUACCCAAUCACAGGGGAAGGCUUUGGCAGUAAAAUCCAGAGCUAGAGUCCCUAAGGCAGUUUGACGUUGAGUUCAAUGCUGACUGGUAACUCCUGCAACGCUGCUGGUGACAAACUGUAUCGGUCUUUGCUGUUCCUUCGGGCUCAUCAGCUGUGUGGAGAAGGGGGAGCCUGCUACAAGGGCAUCAGCUUGCUCCCUGCAUCGUACCACCCUGGCUCAUGCAUCCAGUCAGCUAGGAUGCAAUAUCCACAGCUGACCCCCGACCAACGAAGGGCUCCCAAUGGUAGUCAGAG